UGGGGAAUUUUGCACAAUGGGGGAAACCCUGAUGCAGCGACGCCGCGUGAUUUAGAAGGCCUUCGGGUUGUAAAAAUCUUUUCUAUGGGAAGAAAAUGACAGUACCAUAGGAAUAAGGACCGGCUAAUUACGUGCCAGCAGCCACGGUAAUACGUAAGGUCCGAGCGUUGUCCGGAAUCAUUGGGCGUAAAGGGUACGUAGGCGGGUACGCAAGUUAGAAGUGAAAUCCUAUAGCUCAACUAUAGUAAGCUUUUAAAACUGCUCAUCUUGAGGGAUGGAAGGGAAAGUGGAAUUCCUAGUGUAGCGGUGAAAUGCGCAGAUAUUAGGAGGAAUACCGGUGGCGAAGGCGGCUUUCUGGCCAUAACCUGACGCUGAGGUACGAAAGCGUGGGUAGCAAACAGG
rnacentral:rRNA from 1 species